AGAAUGCCAUGCAGACCUAAAAAUACACCACAGCUGCCACUAUUACCCAUGGUCCCUCAUUUUCCCAGGAAAAUUAAGAGAGUUAGCGUCUCUACCCCCACCUGAAAUAGCAGUGUCAAACCACAAUUAUUUCCUAUCCAUUAUAAGAGAGAGUGCAUGCCACUACUGGAGCAAGUGGUUUUUGACUUAAGAACACCAAUGGGAGCUUCCUGAGGCAGGAGACAAGCAUCUUCCCUGGAUGCAGACUGCCUGCCCUGCUUUGCUACUUCACUGCCAUGGUUGAUCUUAGUACUGUAUUUUAAAUGUGCCCCUCCCUUCCCAACAAUGAACAUUUGCCUGGCUUCAGGAUGGAAGACAAAUCUUAAAUGAAACUGGCAAAUUCUUAUCACUCAAUUCACAUCACCCUUAAGUAGAGACAGGUGACAAACUUCAGCUUGUAGGUUUCUCACCCAAACAUGUUCCUUUGCCCAAAAUUCUUGCACUGGUGGGUUUCCAUCACAUCAUGUCUAUAAAUGGGUGCACUUUACUGUUUGAAUUUGUAACUCUGAUAAAUACUGGAUAUUUAAGUGUGAGUAAUGUCUUCAUUAGAAAUUAGAGUCACUCUUGUCUCUAGUGUGUUUUUUCAAGAAAAAAAGAUACAAGGAAAGAAAUCAAGCAGUGGGCCACAGCAUUUAUAGCACAGAAAUAACGUUGUAUAUAAGCCUCAAAGAGUAAGGAUUUUUAAACACAAGAAAACAUUUGCAGUGAUUUUAAAGUGCUUUUCCAGCAAUUUUCUUAGGGACUCCUGAGACAUGGUUCAUUUAUUUACUGGAUCAGUAAGGCACACAAGUAACAAUUAAAAUUAUUGUUUAUUUACAAAGUAAAGGGAAAACCUCUGUAACAUGAGAAUUCGGCAUGGACAAAUGGAGAUCAUUUUGUAUCUGCUGUUGUGUCUGUCCAGGUUGCAGUCGUGCACUAUUAGUCCCGAGUUAAUAGAGCACAACCCCCUCUCGUUCCAGGUGCCCCUUUCUAGAUGUGUUUAACUUAAACUUGAUGGCUCAGGAAAAUUCCACUCAUUAGAAUUGUGUACAGUAUCCCAGGUUGUUGCCCAGAUAUCCAAGUUUGCUGAUUUUAGUUAAGCCUGGAUUAUCACUUUUCCUAAAUUAUUAUAAACAGAACAGCUUAGAGAAAGGUGUUCUCCUCCCUUAUAUUGUAUAGUAGUUUAUGAUUCCCUCUAAAUAUUGGUAUUUUUAUAUUUCAGAGAUAUACCCAAUAGAAAAAUUUUAAACCAGUAUCUAAUUUAAUAUCCAUAAGUAUUUUUCCUUAGAGUUUAGUCAUAUGCAGUGGGAUAUGUGGAUGUCACUUGUGCUUCACCGUACUCUACCACUAGGUGUCACUGUGACCCUGCAUCAUACUUACCUGGUUACAAAGAAUGGCUUCGUGGAGCUGCUGCCAGUGCAGCUGGCAAGGGGGCCCUACAGACUAGAGGUUCAGGAAGAAGGGAACACAAGCCUGAGGGGGCUUCCUGCAGCCAUGCCCCUGUAGCAAGGCAGACUCUGGACACCACGUUUGCGAGGUUACAUUGCGCUCCCUUUCUCCCCGUUAGAAACCGUUCCUCUCAGUUCACUCAGCCUCCGGCUUUUAUAACUCCAGAAGAAUCACAGUUGGGUGGUUGAUUAAAGAUGGUUAUUUUUCUACUGCAGAAAUGCCUUGGACAAAACCAGUUGCUCACUGAAUCUUUGCCACACAAUGGAACAGGCUCCCCAGGUGGCAGGAUAUGCUGCCUCUGUGCCCAUCUCUUGUUGAGGCUCUGAGCGCUCAGCAGCCCCACCCACCCUACCUGUCUGCCCUCAGGCUGCCCAGUUCUCAAGAAGGGGUCUGCUACCGCCUUUACUCUGAGGGCCAUACUGCCCUGCCUCGUGCUUGUUGAGAGGUGUGACUUCUCCUUUUCCUCUGGGAAUUCCAGACUGACCAUCUACCAUGACUAACAAUGAACAAAGGGCUUAGGGUAAGAGCUACCUACAAAGACGCGUCAUGGAAACCUUCACCAUGCAAUGCCUUGAACUCAGCUCUGGCUGCUCCCAAGAAAAGGCAGCUGGCUAGGGGCCUGGACACAAGCACAACGGGGCUGGUGGAGCCACUGUGCAGAGCUACUUGAAUAUUCACUGGGUCUUCAUCAACUCUUUUUGUAAUACAGACCACUCAAGGGCUGAAGUGUUGGUAACCUUCAUUUCGGUGUCCAAUGCCUCACAGCAGCUGAGCCACCCUGAGAUGCUUGUGGCCACGUGAUGGCCACAGUCAGAGCUUUGAAAGUCAGUACCAAAUGAACGUAUAAUUGGACACCAAAAAUCAAGUGUUACUCUCAUGUUUCCUCACCCUGUCAUCUCAUUUCUUCCUGCUGACUAUCGUGAUCCCUACACUAAGCUGACCAGUCAGGCUACAGCUGGCUGCACGCAGAUGCCAGCCAGCACCAUCUCCUGGUUUCAGAUAGACCUACUCCGUGGGAAGAACGUGGCCUAGCUGCUUUGUUUCUGUAGCACUUGAUGGCUGGAUUUUUUCCUUUGCUAAUCACUAACCAGAAAAUCUGGCUAGGACUCAACUCACUCCCUUCAAUCCCCAGGACCAGACAGAGAGUUAAUUCUGGAAAAUUCCGUACUUGAAUGUACCUGCCUUACUGUGUACCCAUUCACUGGGGGAGGGGGGAUUAGAGAUGUUGGCUCUAGAUAUCCACUUCAUUCAAAGUUAUUUUGGAAAUCCUGUAAGUUCUACUUCCUGUCCUGCUUUGCUUUCCUUUGCUUUGCUUUGCUUUGCUUUGCUUUGCUUUGCUUUGCUUUGCUUUGCUUUGCUUUGCUUGUUUGUUUUGUUCCUGACAUUUGACUGAUUCCUGCUGAGUUGGGCCGUUCCCUGUGGGGCCCAGGGCAGGUGCCAUUCUCAGGCAUGGCCUCCCUUCCAUCUAGCACAGCAUCUGUCCCUCUGUUCUGUCUCCUCCAACCCAAGACGAUUUUAAUUAGUACAGACAUGUACAGUCUACAAUUAAAGAGUGAUUUGUACUAAUAUGAUUUUGAUUAUUCCUCUUUGCUGUCCUUUCAAGACACUUGCUGGAAAAAGCUUUAAUGCACUUAGUUUUCCUUUAGGUUUUCUAUAACUCAGAUGUAAAGGACUUUCUCUGUACAGUAUAUUAUCCAAUGCAUGUUUGUUCUCUAUCCUGAUAUAUCAAACACCACACGGUCGUGAACUCGUGCAGUGGGGAUGGCCCACACCCAGCGGAGGCCUCCAGCCCCGUGAAUAAGGAAGACAUUUUCUCUACUGUACUUGCUUGAACAGUUUUAUUGUCUGUACAUGUGAGCUGUGUGAGAUAGAUGUGAAAAGUUCAAAUGAAUGCAUUUUCCUGCCCCAUGUAUACAGAGCGUCAUCUGUACAAUGAACUGUAUGUAUGAAAGCAAAUGUACGUAUUUAUAAAUGGUCAACACUUG
rnacentral:lncRNA from 1 species